UAACGACAGAUAAAAGAUUCCUCUUAUUGGGUUCUGCGAGAGGUGCUUAAAUUACUCAGGGACUGAUGCUGACCCUUUAUCUCAUCAAUGUUGGCCAAGCCAAGACCUACGAGGUAGAUGGCCGCACCAGAUUCAGUUCGAAUCACUCACUCGUAGACUCAAUUUUCUUACUAAACAAACAGUACUGAAUUGGUGUUAUACGACGCUCUUGAUGAUGAUUAUCACUGUUGUUGUGCCCUACGAACGCGGGUACGGUUAUGGUUAGGUCCAUCAGUGCAAGCUGGAGGACCUCCCCAUGUCUGCCCAGUAAACUCAUUAUCUGGCUGCGAAGAUGCCACACUCGUAGCCACUGUCGGAGCAGCCGGAGGAGUUGCUGGUGAUGCCGAGGAUCCUUUACAACAAUUCCCCAUAUUCGAAUCUAUAUAUAUACGUAAGAAGGAAUCUAUAUAUACUAAGAAGUCUUUGUGUACUCUUUGAGUGCACAAAGCAAAUAUAUGUGCGUGUGUAUUUUAGAUAUGAAAGAAAUUCAUUGGGUGUGGACCUCUUAUAUAGGGGAUAGGUUGGGGUAAGUUGAAAAAUACUAUUUUUAUUUACCCUGAGAUAAUAAAGUCACAUGGAGAGUAUUUUUUUGAAGUGACUUAGGCAAAAUUAGUAUUGAAGAGGUAAAUAUGAUAAAUUUUAAAAAAGAGAGUUAAAAUAAAAGGUAAAUAUCAUUUUGUACUCUGUGUUUACAAAAGUUAUUAAUUUGGACCUUGUUAUUAAUUGCACCCGGUUAGUAAAAACGGUUAUAUCAAGUACAUACUAUAUUUUUAGU